rnacentral:lncRNA from 1 species
GUGACUUCGGCCAUCGCUCUGGUAGUCCCGGUAGCUGACGAACUCCUGCCAAGGGCAGCGGUAGCCCUUGGAGAUGGCGGUGUGGUUGAACUUCUCUGGCGGGACGCCCUUCAGCGGCUCCGCAUAGCCUAGGGGCGCGGGGGGAAGGGAGCGCCUCCGUUCUUCCACCCUCAGCCCCCAACCCCACCUCGCCCCACCCCCAUUCCGCGGACGCGGUUGGAGGAGGGAAGAUCGGAGUUAGGGGAGAGGACGGCGGGAAUGGGAAGCCACAGUUGCUCCAGCACAGGAGACCCCUCCCCAUCCCAGGAAACACGGAGGACUGCAGUGAGGAAGCCACGAGUUCGCAGCGCGGGUUGGUCUUGGCCUUGGCUGACUCGCUGUGUGACCUGGGGCGCGGCGCCCCUCCGGCUCGUGGUCUGGCGAGGGGAGUGCGCGCGUGCGCGUGUGUGUUGGGGAAGGGGGCGGACUAGCCUUCUGGGUGCUCUUCCUGCCCCAUGGGGAGCACACCCAUGCUUCAGGCCCCCCAGCCCUGGUCCCGGGACCCGAGGAGGCCACUCACCUGGCGCCAGGGCGCUGGGGCUGGGGACGCACCCAGCAGGGGCGGCUGCAGGGUGGGCGCCCUCGGGACCCCCGAGUGAGGCCCCGGGUGAGGCCGGGAAGAUGUGGAGCUCCGAGCGGUAGUUCGGCCCCUCAGGGCCAUUGGCAUUGGCAACCUGGGCACAGGGGCGGGUUCUCAGAGGCCACCGACGACCUCCCGCCCCCAGCCGCGCUCCCCUUCCCCCAGCUUCCCUUCCAGGGAGCUCCCCUCCACGCUCACCGUCCCCGACUCCGCUGUUCCAGUCACCUUCCUCCUGGCGCUUCCGGCCAGCAUCUGGGAACGAGGGGGUAGAAUAAACCGCAGAGAAGCUCAGCGGGGCAGGGGACCAGGGUUCUCCCUCCACCAAAAAAAAAGGUCGGGGGGAGGCAAGAAUCCUAACGCCCAUCAUCGGGGAACAAGGAUGAGUUACUAGUUUACAACGCUAAACCCAGUGCCUGGGACCGAGAAAUACUCGAUAUAUGUUAAUUGCUAUUGUAAUGCCGAGUCCGGGCAAGAUACUUAAUUUCCCUGAGCCUCAAUGUCCUUCUCGAUAGAAUGAGGAUGAUGGUGAUGAAGAUCUCUUCCUCAGAGGGGUCUAUGAGCAUUAAAUGAGAUACCUGCAAAGUGCUUAGCUAGCAUUGUCUUAGGCACAUAGCAAAGGCGGGUGUUUUGCCAUCUUUAUUUUUCUGCCACAUCACUCCCUCUCAGUUGCCUCCUGUCUAGCCCAGAAAUUAAGUGGAGGGUGGAUGGAAUAGCCCUGGCUUCCUUAGAAGUAUCUGGAACUGCCUGCUGCCUUUCUGAAGCCAAGGGAAAAACCCUUCUUGCCUUUCUUCUCCACCAGCAGAUUAUUCCAUGGCCUUUCCUUUCUCCGGUGGGAAGAAGAAAAAAGGGCAUUCUACAUUUUCCAUCUUAGAUCAGGCCCAAGUCUAAACUAGAUCCAGCCUGCUGCAAAUUUAGCCUAGAGUGCAUGCCUGUCUUAGCUUUUUUUUUUUUUUUUUUUUUUUGGUAGGAGCCAGAGUCCCUUCACUCCACGGCUUAUCCUCAACCCCCUAAUCCACUUUGUUUACUUUGUUCUGUAUCCAGGGAGAGAUGCCUAAAAAGAUAACACUUUUCAAGGAUCACACUGAAAGGCAGGAGCCUAAUCUGAUGGGAACAUCACAGUCCUCAGCCUGGCUUACCGUUUGACUUUAGGCUAACCAGUGGCUCUCUGUGGUCCUCAUUUUCCCCAUGAGCACAAUGGUGGCUUACUCACCGCCCGCUGGCUGGCUGCUAACUCGAAAGUGAACUUCUGCACACGGCGCUGCCUCUUCUGGAAGAGGAGGGACCCUCUGUUGUUGCGUAGUGACAGCUCCUCCAUCAUCAGGUCCUGGGGCACGCUCAGCUUCUUGCCCAGGUCCAGCGUAGGGACUGCCAGGAAAGGCCAGAGCGGGCUCUCACCACCCCAUCCCCCAUACACUCCAGGCCCCACCUCUCGAAGCAUGGCAUGCUGUGUGUAAGAAUGCCUGUUUCUCACCAAGCUUGCCGACACCGGGUGUCAUGAUUGUUUGAAAUCUUUGCCCACCUGAUGGGCAAAAAUGACACCUCAGAGUUUAAUUUGCAUGUGUUUGUUGCUCAGUGAAGUUUAGCACUGUUUCCGAAGUUCUUUGGCCAUUUGUGUUUAUUGCAUGAAUUCCCCAUGCAGGUCUUUGCCCAUAAUGGUGGAGGUAGUGAGAAAUGGUCAGAUUCUCGAUAUUUUUUAAAGACGAGUUUCACUCUUGUUGCCCAGGCUGGAGUGCAAUGGCAUGAUCUCGGCUCACUGCAACCUCUGCCUCCCGGGUUCAAGCGAUUCUCCUGCCUCAGCCUCCCGAGUAGCUGGAAUUGCAGGCAUGCACCAUCACGCCUGGCUAAUUUUGUAUUUAUAGUAGAGAUGGGGUUUCUCCAUGUUGGUCAGGCUGGUCUCGAGCUCCCAACCUCAGGUCAUCCGCUUGCCUCAGUCUCCCAAAGUGCUGGGAUUACAGGCGUGAGCCACCUCCCCCAGCUGAGCUCAAUAUUUAAAAAAAAAAAAUGGCAGGCACAGUGGCUCACAACUAUAAUCCCAGCACUUGCAGAGGGCAAAGUGGGUGGAUUGCUUGGGCCCAGGAGUUCAAGACCAGCCUGGGCAAUAUAGCAAGACCCUGUCUCUAUUAAAAAAUAAAAAAAGAUAAAAUCUAUUUGACUGAGUAUUUCUAUUUCUAGGAAUUUAUUCUCGGGGAAAAAGUUGAAUAAAUAUGUCCAAAGAUACAUGUAUAAGAAUGUUUAUUGCAGUGGGGUUUAAAAUUGUGAAAACUGGGACUCAGUCUCGUGGUGGAUGCUGCCAGAUGCCCCUUAUUAGUGGCUAAGAGUUCACACCACCACCUUCUACAGAGAACUGCCAGUGGAAUGGAUGCUCCACAGCGCCCUUGCCUCAGGUGGGAUGAAUUCUGUGGAGCAAUUCAUGCUCGAGAGCUCCCCGCGGGGUCACACUGAACUGGACAGCCGCUGAGCCCACAUCCUCGCUCAGCAGUACCCCACCCUAGGCUGCAUUCCUCCUUCCCUUCCGAGAGCACGUUCUCAAUAAGUCACUUGCACAAGGCUCCUCUGUUCUGCCCCGAAGGAUCUCACCCCAGACAACCCUCAUCAGGGGAUGGUUAAACACACAUGACGUGUCCAAACAGCAGAAAGCUGGUAAGCACGGGGAAGGAAGGCGUGAGAUAAAUCAUACUAGGAUGGAAUGCUGCUAAAUGAAAAAAAAAAAAAGCCAAAGAACAUAGCAUAUAGUAUUUAGCCCAUGUGUAUGUAUGUUUAUAUAAAGACAUUCAUAUAUGAACAGAACAAGAAUUUACAUAAAUAUGUUAACAGUGGUUAUCUCCAGAUGGUUCCAUUAUGAUGAACUUUCAAAGCCGUUCAUGUCUGUUUUGUCUGAAUUAAACAAAUUUUUUUAAUGUAUGCCAAGUCAAUGGCAAGUGAAUUUUUUUUUUAAAAAGUGAUGUAUUAUCAUUGUAACCAUGUAAUAAAGAAACAGCUCUGAAGACAAAGAGACCUGGAGUCAAAUUGCA